GCCUAUAACCAGUUCCUCACAGGCUUCCACAUAUCUUGCAGGCAGUGAAAUUCGCAAAUGCCAGCAGUGUCAGAUACUUCAGAAAAUACACAGACUCUGGAAAUAUCCCAGCCUUCUGAAAUUCUUUCCUUCCUCCUGUCCUGCUGUUAACCCCAUUCACACAGAUGGUGACAAUAGGAAGGCACAAUGGUGGCUGAUAAACUCUGCACAUUGCUGCAUUCAUUCAUUCAUCUCCCCUCCAACCAACUGCACUUUGUGACUCAGGCUUAAAAAGCACUAGGGGGCCUCCCCUCAGAGGACCAAGAGGACAAGCUUGUCUUUCCCUUUCUGGAAGUUUGACUGAAACAGCCUCAGACUUUCUGAAGACAUAUUUUGCAAGUGGCCAUCAUAACCACUGGUUACAGUACGUGUGCAGUAUCACUGUCCAUAAUUACUGGGCUGCUCCAUCUCUGCCCUAGCACUAAUUACUAAGCAGACUGGAGGCCUCGCAGAACCCAACAUCAUUACAGACUGUAGCCAUUUUCUGAUGAUUUCAACUGUCCCAGAAAUCCCCAUCUGCCUGAAAGCUCUCGAUGAACUGGAAAAGUUCAUAAGGAAGAACAGGAGGGCAUCCAAAAGCAAACUACAGAUGUACCACAGUGGAAAGUGAAGAGUCAAACCUGGAGAGUUUGAGAAGAAGGCAAGAGAAAGUA